rnacentral:rRNA from 1 species
UACGGGGGGAGCAAGCGUUGUUCGGAUUUACUGGGCGUAAAGGGCGCGUAGGCGGCGCAACAAGUCACUUGUGAAAUCUCCGGGCUUAACCCGGAGCGGCCAAGUGAUACUGUCGUGCUAGAGUGCGGAAGGGGCUACUGGAAUUCUCGGUGUAGCGGUGAAAUGCGCAGAUAUCGGGAGGAACACCGGUGGCGAAGGCGGUUCUCUGGGCCUUACCUGUCGCUGAGGAGCGAAAGCGUGGGGAGCGAACAGG